rnacentral:pre_miRNA from 1 species
UUUUCAGUAUAAGUAUGUCCCAUGCAAUAUUUGGGACAUACUUAUACUUUAA